CGGGGUAUAGCGCAGUCUGGUAGCGUACCUGCUUUGGGAGCAGGGUGUCGGGGGUUCAAAUCCCUCUACCCCGA
rnacentral:tRNA from 1 species